UACAGAGGUCCCAAGCGUUGUUCGGAUUCACUGGGCGUAAAGGGUGCGUAGGCGGUCGGGUAAGUCUGAUGUGAAAUCUCCAAGCUUAACUUGGAAAUGGCAUCGGAUACUAUUCGGCUCGAGGAAUGGAGGGGAGACUGGAAUACUUGGUGUAGCAGUGAAAUGCGUAGAUAUCGGGAGGAACACCAGUGGCGAAGGCGGCUUCCUGGCCUGUUCUUGACGCUGAGGCGCGAAAGCUAGGGUAGCAAACGGG
rnacentral:rRNA from 1 species